rnacentral:rRNA from 1 species
UACGAAGGGGGCUAGCGUUACUCGGAAUUACUGGGCGUAAAGGGCGCGUAGGCGGCUCUGUAAGUCAGGCGUGAAAUUCCCGGGCUCAACCUGGGGACUGCGCUUGAGACUGUGGGGCUAGAGGAUGGAAGAGGGUCGUGGAAUUCCCAGUGUAGAGGUGAAAUUCGUAGAUAUUGGGAAGAGCACCGGUGGCGAAGGCGGCGACCUGGUCCAUUACUGACGCUGAGGCGCGACAGCGUGGGGAGCAAACAGG